rnacentral:rRNA from 1 species
CGACCGGCAAACGGGUGCGGAACACGUACACAACUUUCCUUUAACUGAGAAAUAACCCUGGGAAACUAGGACUAAUAUCUCAUAGUAUAACUGGAUGGCAUCAUCUGGUUAUUAAAGCUCCGGCGGUUAAAGAUGGGUGUGCGUAUGAUUAGGUAGUUGGCGGGGUAACGGCCCACCAAGCCUACGAUCAUUAGCUGAUGUGAGAGCAUGAUCAGCCACACGGGCACUGAGACACGGGCCCG